UCUUUUCCAAUUGGGCUGUCAUUGGAGUUCUGCAAUUGCUCUUUGUUGCCGAGAUAAUCAACUGAGGUAAGCUAUGCCUAUAGUACCAACUAGUACUUCGCACGGGAGAAGCCUCCACCCAGCAACAGACGUCUUUUCCAUUCGUUAGUUAAGUACUGAAGAAGGUGAAAAACAUUGGAAGGCUUUCGAAACACGUGUUAUUGAGCAUAAUGUCCUCAUCGUGGCCAAACACUACACGCGUGUGGCAAUGCAAAGGAUGAUUUCAUCCGUGAUUUUUCUAUUGAGGAACACAGAAGAAUAUCUAAUGUGGUGUACAGUUAAACUGUAACAUCGUGCGUCGGCAUUGACCCGAUUUUUAAAACCUUUUUAAGGAGAUUAGGUCCUCGAUUACUGCUGAUGUACAGGUCAAAGAUGAAAUAGCGUUAUUUAUAGAUAUUCUUUCGGGUAAUAUAAGUUUUUCGCAUUUCAGCCAACAGAUGUCGACCCUACCGCUUUUGUGUCGGUGACUCGAGAGGACGUUCUGCUCUUGGAUCUGACGAAUUGUGGAUAUGAAUGUACAAAAUCUUUGAUGACUGGAUUUGACACUCAGAACUGUUCCUGUUAGAAAGGUAAACAUGAACAUGGUCUUUAGUUUCUGUUAUUCUUUUUUACAUAAAGUAUUUUAUUUGCGAUCUAUGUUGGAGUGGAUCGAGGCUGAUGCAUACUUUCUUGUCAUAAUGCAAGAGAAAUAGGGUAAAGUUGCUGAAGCUGCAGACAUUCUCCAAGAACGUCUGUUCAAGACCGAUGAUUCUAUGGAAAAGCUAGAAAAUUGAACAGGUUGAGCUUAUCCUGAAAUGAAUGAGAUUGUUUUUUCUUCAUCUGCACUCAGAUCAUUUUGAAGAAGAUAAGUGUCAGAUUUGUUUUUAGAGAAACAUGUGCUCAGUCUUAAAGUGAAAUUUUUUCAUGUAGGAAUACUUUAACGUUGUUCCAUUUGUCUUAUUAAGCGUGGGAAGGUGGAGAGGAAAUGUUGGUAAAUUAUUCAUCAUUGUGUAGAUCCCUGAUAGAUGUUGACAAGAACAGGUAUUACAUCUCUACAUUUGUUAACAUAAUCAAGCCAUGUACAACAUAACAGUGAUCCAAGAGAAAGAGCUUCUGCAAUUGUUGGUGGUUGUCGAGCUGAUGUUUCGCUGACACGCUGUGUCAAUAGUACAAACUAGUAUGGCGAAGGGAGAGACCUUCCUCCCGACAAUGAUAUCAUUA